CAGACUGACACGCAGACCUUAAACCUGGCAAUCUGAGGAGAAGCUCGGGAAUAGUCUAGAAGGAGGAAGAAAGAGAACCCCUGGGGAGCCAGCGAGAGUGCCCGGCAGCCGCGCCCCACCGGACAGGGGCGUCCCUCCGCAUGGCGUGCGGGAGGCCCUGACGUCAGCUUCCGGAGCCCCGUGGGCUCAGCCGGGCUGCUGCAAAGAAAUGAAACGCGUGUUUGCCCGCUUACAGCGGGCCGCGAGGGGGCUCCCACGGCAGGCGGAAUCGCUGUCUCCAUUUUAUAGUAGACACACCGAGUCACGGCAGGGUCGGGCGUACAACAUGGCGAGCAGACGCGCAUACACCUCAUGAAGCGGCCGCCCCCCGCCGGCAAGUCCAGCGCACCCAGGGGCGUGUGGGGCGCCGCUGAGGGCCAG